AGUGAGGACAAGUCUCAACAGGAGAGUGAGGACAAGUCUCAACAGGAGAGUGAGGACAAGUCUCAACAGGAGAGUGAGGACAAGUCUCAAGAGAGUGAGGACAAGUCUCAACAGGAGAGUGAGGACAAGUCUCAACAGGAGAGUGAGGACAAGUCUCAACAGGAGAGUGAGGACAAGUCUCA